UGGGGAAUAUUGCACAAUGGGGGAAACCCUGAUGCAGCAACGCCGCGUGAAGGAAGACGGUUCUCGGAUUGUAAACUUCUAUCAGCAGGGACGAAAAAAAUGACGGUACCUGACUAAGAAGCCCCGGCUAACUACGUGCCAGCAGCCGCGGUAAUACGUAGGGGGCAAGCGUUAUCCGGAUUUACUGGGUGUAAAGGGUGAGUAGGCGGCCGAAUAAGUCAUAUGUGAAAGCCUAAGGCUUAACUUUAGGACUGCAUAAGAAACUAAUCGGCUAGAGUACAGGAGAGGUAAGCGGAAUUCCUAGUGUAGCGGUGAAAUGCGUAGAUAUUAGGAAGAACACCAGUGGCGAAGGCGGCUUACUGGACUGAAACUGACGCUGAGUCACGAAAGCGUGGGGAGCGAACA
rnacentral:rRNA from 1 species